CAGAAAUCUAGGGCUUCACACAAUCUUGAAAUUAUGAAGGCUGUACUCUGAAAAAAUCAGAUUUAUCAUGGAGGUGAUGAGAACUCUUCUGCUUCUCUUCUGUUCACUUUCUUGGACUACAGAAGGUAACCAAGACACUUAUUUGUCAAU